UACAGAGGUCUCAAGCGUUGUUCGGAUUCAUUGGGCGUAAAGGGUGCGUAGGUGGCGUCGUAAGUCGGGUGUGAAAUUUCGGAGCUUAACUCCGAAACUGCAUUCGAUACUGCGGUGCUUGAGGACUGGAGAGGAGACUGGAAUUUACGGUGUAGCAGUGAAAUGCGUAGAGAUCGUAAGGAAGACCAGUGGCGAAGGCGGGUCUCUGGACAGUUCCUGACACUGAGGCACGAAGGCCAGGGGAGCGAACGGG
rnacentral:rRNA from 1 species